UGCCAGACUCCUACGGGAGGCAGCAGUAGGGAAUUUUCGGCAAUGGGGGGAACCCUGACCGAGCAACGCCGCGUGAACGAAGAAGUAUUUCGGUAUGUAAAGUUCUUUUAUUGGAGAAGAAAGAGAAAUUUGACGGUAACCAAUGAAUAAGCUCCGGCUAACUACGUGCCAGCAGCCGCGGUAAUACGUAGGGAGCGAGCGUUAUCCGGAAUUAUUGGGCGUAAAGGGUGCGUAGAUGGUUGAUAUAAGUCUUUUGUAAAAAUGCUAGGCUCAACCUAGUAGGGCAAAAGAUACUGAUGAACUAGAGUACGGCAGAGGCAAGUGGAACUACAUGUGUAGCGGUAAAAUGCGUAAAUAUAUGUAAGAACACCGGUGGCGAAGGCGGCUUGCUGGGCCUGUACUGACAUUGAGGCACGAAAGCGUGGGGAGCAAACAGGAUUAGAUACCCGAGUAAAA
rnacentral:rRNA from 1 species